UUGGCAACAAACAAAGAGAGAGCUAAAAUAACCUGGUGAUGACCUCCCAUAUUUUUAGAUCAAUGCAUUUCAGGAAGGAUAGUUUCUAGAACAGUGGAGCGGGUGCAUGUUGGCUUUAUUUCAGUAGAGGAGUGAAAGAAAUUGCUUACAAGCUUCUUGCAAGAAGUUAGACAUGAUUUCUUAGUUGUGACAGAACUGCACCUUCUGCUUGUCUCAAAGAGCUAAGUAGAAGAUUUUGGAUGUUUCCUCAGUGCCAACAACACCGAUGACAAAACUGCUGUAAGAACAUAUUUGGUUUAUUUUCUUCAGAUAACAAACUCAGUGCAUCACGUGCUUUCCUAGCAGCCUCCAUUCUUUCCAGGCUACUCUCCACAGGCCAUCUACGUGUAAGUGCUGACCCCACCUCAGAGACCACUUGCCCAUGCAGCUCAGUAGGCAGCAGGAGAAGAGAAAGGCACUAGCUGAGAGCAACAGAAGAAGAGAGCAAGAAGAAAGGAAAAAUAUGAAGUGGGAGUAGGUCAAGGCAAAUGGUUUAGCAAUGGUGCUGGAAUUUCAGGUCUUCAAACCUCUUCAGCAGGUGAUGCUUCCUCUCCAGGGCUCUGCAGCUAUUAAUAUGGACGAGAGACAUUAAAAUACAGAGAGACAGUCUGGCGCUUAGUCCCUGCAAAAUUUGCAGACAGGAACGUGUGGGAAACUUCCUCGAGGAAAGUGUUUUACCCUGAGGGUGGAAAUGGUGGAGCAUUACUUCAGUGUUGUUCGUAAGCAAAGGGAGCUAGGGAGGAUCAGGCCAAGAUGAUCUUCUCCUCAUUAGUCAGCUACAAGAGGUCCCAGUGAGUUUUGGAAGCCUGGAAGAGAUUGAUGUUCAAAAACAGCAUGGGAUAACUUUUCAGGUUCAUCCUGUUGUAGCCUGAAUGAUUUGAUAAUGCCGUGUCUACACUACUCUUCUGCUACAGUCUAGGGAUGUCUCUGUUCUUUAUUAUUUUCUUGUAAUAAAUUUGUAAUUUGUAGCCCAGCUUUGGUCUGGUAGCUUCAUUUUGUGUCCUUUUCUAUUUCAUUUAUCUUACUUUUUUUUUUUUAUGUUUAUUUUGUGUUUUUGUUGUUUUUUUUUUUUUUUUUUUUAAUUUUGUCAUAUAAUGUAAGGUGAUUACUGUAUUUUUGUAGCUGAAAUUACUUCAGGGUUUUGGAAUUAAAAAUUUAUCAAUAGCUAGGCUGAGUCCAGUUCCCUUUAAAAGGCCAGUUAUCCGAUGACAGGUUGCACAUGGGGUAAAGUAUCGACAGUAGCCUGAAAGUAUGCCACACUGAACUAGUCAAUGUGUAGAUAAAUUUGUUAGAUUUGAAUACUAACAGCUUUUAUUGAGCAUCAUUAAUUAUAUAUAUUUUUUGUUUCUGUUCUAUGCAUUUUUGUAGCACUUCUGUUACCAUAAAUUAGUAAAUCUCUAUAAUUUCCUUCAACUACUUUUUUCAAUGCAGAAUGCCUGAAAAGUAGACACAAUUAAGGUACUCAAUAAUACAAACAACAGAAGAGAUUUAAAGAGAAGAAAAAGAAAAUAUAAAGCAAUGGAUAGUUCACCCCUCAUUAAAUACAAAAUGUAAUAUUUAUUACAAGGUUUCUGAACUGCUCAAGAACCCUGUAUUGCAUAUGGCCUUUGCUUCAACCCUAGAGCUAUGCAACCCCUCUGUUUAAAGCGUGCAGUAACUGUUCAGAGUAAGGGAGAUUUUUGCAUUUGU
ensembl:lncRNA